GAUGAACGCUAGCUACAGGCUUAACACAUGCAAGUCGAGCGGUUUGUGCUUUUGCACAUUCAGCGGCAGACGGGUGAGUAACACGUAUCUAACCUUCCCCUUACUUGGGCAUAGCCUCUGGAAACGGAGAUUAAUUUCCGAUGUGGUGUACAUUUCGCAUGUUUUGCGCACCAAAGAUUUAUCGGUAGUAGAUGGGCAUGCGUUCCAUUAGCUUGUUGGUGAGGUAACGGCUCACCAAGGCAACGAUGGAUAGGGGAACUGAGAGGUUGAUCCCCACACUGGAACUGAGACACGGUCCAGACUCCUACGGGAGGCAGCAGUGAGGAAUAUUGGUCAAUGGACGAGAGUCUGAACCAGCCAAGUCGCGUGAAGGAAGACGGCCCUACGGGUGUAAACUUCUUUUGUAAAGGGAAUAAAUAGUCUUAACGCGCUAAGACGUUGCAGGUACCUUACGAAUAAGGAUCGGGCUAAACUCCGUGCCAGCAGCCGGGUAAAACUA
rnacentral:rRNA from 1 species